rnacentral:rRNA from 1 species
AUUGAACGCUGGCGGCAGGCUUAACACAUGCAAGUCGAGCGGGGGAAGGUAGCUUGCUACUGGACCUAGCGGCGGACGGGUGAGUAAUGCUUAGGAAUCUGCCUAUUAGUGGGGGACAACAGCUCGAAAGGGAUGCUAAUACCGCAUACGUCCUACGGGAGAAAGCAGGGGAUCUUCGGACCUUGCGCGAAUAGAUGAGCCUAAGUCGGAUUAGCUAGUUGGUGGGGUAAAGGCCUACCAAGGCGACGAUCUGUAGCGGGUCUGAGAGGGUGAUCCGCCACACUGGGACUGAGACACGGCCCAGACUCCUACGGGAGGCAGCAGUGGGGAAUAUUGGACAAUGGGGGGAACCCUGAUCCAGCCAUGCCGCGUGUGUGAAGAAGGCCUUAUGGUUGUAAAGCACUUUAAGCGAGGAGGAGGCUACUUUAGUUAAUACCUAGAGAUAGUGGACGUUACUCGCAGAAUAAGCACCGGCUAACUCUGUGCCAGCCGCCGCCGUAA